rnacentral:siRNA from 1 species
CCAAGGUUUAAUACGCCUACA